rnacentral:rRNA from 1 species
CCCUUAGAUGUCCGGGGCUGCACGCGCGCUACACUGAAGGAAUCAGCGUGCUAAAACCAUUGUCGAAAGGCAUUGGUAAACCCAUUAAAAUCCUACGUGAUUGGGAUCGGGAAUUGCAAUUAUUUCCCUUGAACGAGGAAUUCCCAGUAAGUGUGGGUCAUAAGCUCGCGUUGAUUACGUCCCUGCCCUUUGUACACACCGCCCGUCGCGGCCCGGGACUGAGCCGUUUCGAGAAAAGCGGGGACUGCUGCUGUCGGGGCUUUCGGGCCUUGGCUUCGGUGGAAACCGCUUUAAUCGCAGUGGCUUGAACCGGGCAAAAGUCGUAACA